GGUUAAGCGACUAAGCGUACACGGUGGAUGCCCUGGCAGUCAGAGGCGAUGAAGGGCGUGCUAAUCUGCGAUAAGCGCCGGUAAGGUGAUAUGAACCGUUAUAACCGGCGAUACCCGAAUGGGGAAACCCAGUGUGAUUCGUCACACUAUCAUUAACUGAAUCCAUAGGUUAAUGAGGCGAACCGGGGGAACUGAAACAUCUAAGUACCCCGAGGAAAAGAAAUCAACCGAGAUUCCCCCAGUAGCGGCGAGCGAACGGGGAGGAGCCCAGAGCCUGAAUCAGCAUGUGUGUUAGUGGAAGCGUCUGGAAAGGCGCGCGAUACAGGGUGACAGCCCCGUACACAAAAGCGCAUGUGCUGUGAGCUCGAUGAGUAGGGCGGGACACGUGGUAUCCUGUCUGAAUAUGGGGGGACCAUCCUCCAAGGCUAAAUACUCCUGACUGACCGAUAGUGAACCAGUACCGUGAGGGAAAGGCGAAAAGAACCCCGGCGAGGGGAGUGAAAAAGAACCUGAAACCGUGUACGUACAAGCAGUGGGAGCACCCUUUGGGUGUGACUGCGUACCUUUUGUAUAAUGGGUCAGCGACUUAUAUUCUGUAGCAAGGUUAACCGAAUAGGGGAGCCGGAGGGAAACCGAGUCUUAAUUGGGCGUUAAGUUGCAGGGUAUAGACCCGAAACCCGGUGAUCUAGCCAUGGGCAGGUUGAAGGUUGGGUAACACUAACUGGAGGACCGAACCGACUAAUGUUGAAAAAUUAGCGGAUGACCUGUGGCUGGGGGUGAAAGGCCAAUCAAACCGGGAGAUAGCUGGUUCUCCCCGAAAGCUAUUUAGGUAGCGCCUCGUGAAUUCAUCUCCGGGGGUAGAGCACUGUUUCGGCUAGGGGGCCAUCCCGGCUUACCAACCCGAUGCAAACUGCGAAUACCGGAGAAUGUUAUCACGGGAGACACACGGCGGGUGCUAACGUCCGUCGUGAAGAGGGAAACAACCCAGACCGCCAGCUAAGGUCCCAAAGUCAUGGUUAAGUGGGAAACGAUGUGGGAAGGCCCAGACAGCCAGGAUGUUGGCUUAGAAGCAGCCAUCAUUUAAAGAAAGCGUAAUAGCUCACUGGUCGAGUCGGCCUGCGCGGAAGAUGUAACGGGGCUAAACCAUGCACCGAAGCUGCGGCAGCGACACUGUGUGUUGUUGGGUAGGGGAGCGUUCUGUAAGCCUGUGAAGGUGUGUCGUGAGGCAUGCUGGAGGUAUCAGAAGUGCGAAUGCUGACAUAAGUAACGAUAAAGCGGGUGAAAAGCCCGCUCGCCGGAAGACCAAGGGUUCCUGUCCAACGUUAAUCGGGGCAGGGUGAGUCGACCCCUAAGGCGAGGCCGAAAGGCGUAGUCGAUGGGAAACGGGUUAAUAUUCCCGUACUUGGUGUUACUGCGAAGGGGGGACGGAGAAGGCUAUGUUGGCCGGGCGACGGUUGUCCCGGUUUAAGCGUGUAGGUGUGUGUUCCAGGUAAAUCCGGUUCACUUUAACACUGAGGCGUGACGACGAGGCACUACGGUGCUGAAGCAACAAAUGCCCUGCUUCCAGGAAAAGCCUCUAAGCAUCAGGUAACAUCAAAUCGUACCCCAAACCGACACAGGUGGUCAGGUAGAGAAUACCAAGGCGCUUGAGAGAACUCGGGUGAAGGAACUAGGCAAAAUGGUGCCGUAACUUCGGGAGAAGGCACGCUGACACGUAGGUGAAGUGAUUUACUCAUGGAGCUGAAGUCAGUCGAAGAUACCAGCUGGCUGCAACUGUUUAUUAAAAACACAGCACUGUGCAAACACGAAAGUGGACGUAUACGGUGUGACGCCUGCCCGGUGCCGGAAGGUUAAUUGAUGGGGUCAGCGCAAGCGAAGCUCCUGAUCGAAGCCCCGGUAAACGGCGGCCGUAACUAUAACGGUCCUAAGGUAGCGAAAUUCCUUGUCGGGUAAGUUCCGACCUGCACGAAUGGCGUAAUGAUGGCCAGGCUGUCUCCACCCGAGACUCAGUGAAAUUGAACUCGCUGUGAAGAUGCAGUGUACCCGCGGCAAGACGGAAAGACCCCGUGAACCUUUACUAUAGCUUGACACUGAACAUUGAGCCUUGAUGUGUAGGAUAGGUGGGAGGCUUUGAAGUGUGGACGCCAGUCUGCAUGGAGCCGACCUUGAAAUACCACCCUUUAAUGUUUGAUGUUCUAACGUGGACCCGUUACCCGGGUUGCGGACAGUGUCUGGUGGGUAGUUUGACUGGGGCGGUCUCCUCCUAAAGAGUAACGGAGGAGCACGAAGGUUGGCUAAUCCUGGUCGGACAUCAGGAGGUUAGUGCAAUGGCAUAAGCCAGCUUGACUGCGAGCGUGACGGCGCGAGCAGGUGCGAAAGCAGGUCAUAGUGAUCCGGUGGUUCUGAAUGGAAGGGCCAUCGCUCAACGGAUAAAAGGUACUCCGGGGAUAACAGGCUGAUACCGCCCAAGAGUUCAUAUCGACGGCGGUGUUUGGCACCUCGAUGUCGGCUCAUCACAUCCUGGGGCUGAAGUAGGUCCCAAGGGUAUGGCUGUUCGCCAUUUAAAGUGGUACGCGAGCUGGGUUUAGAACGUCGUGAGACAGUUCGGUCCCUAUCUGCCGUGGGCGCUGGAGAACUGAGGGGGGCUGCUCCUAGUACGAGAGGACCGGAGUGGACGCAUCACUGGUGUUCGGGUUGUCAUGCCAAUGGCACUGCCCGGUAGCUAAAUGCGGAAGAGAUAAGUGCUGAAAGCAUCUAAGCACGAAACUUGCCCCGAGAUGAGUUCUCCCUGAGACUUAAAGUCUCCUGAAGGAACGUUGAAGACGACGACGUUGAUAGGCCGGGUGUGUAAGCGCAGCGAUGCGUUGAGCUAACCGGUACUAAUGAACCGUGAGGCUUAACCUU
rnacentral:rRNA from 1 species